GCAUGGCUGUGUUCCAGUAAAAGUGUAUUUAUGGACACUACAAUUUGAAUUUCAUAUAACAUUCAUGUGCUGUGAAAUAUUAUUUUAAAACUUCAUUUUUUUUAAAUGGUAAAAACUAUUCUUAGGGCUAGGCAUGGUGGCUCAUGCCUGAAAUCCUAGCACUUUGGGAGGCUGAGGCAGGGAAGGAUCACUUGAGCCCAGGAAGUCGAGGCUGCAGUGAGCCAUGAUUGCACUAUGGCACUCCAGCCUAGGUUACAGAGUAGAACUCUGUCUCAAAGUGAAAAACCAAAAACAAUUCUUAGCUUGCGAGUCGUAAAACUCAGGCAACAAGCCUGAUUUGGUCUGUGGGCCAUAAUGCUCCUCGAGGACACCUCUGGAAUUCUAUCUCUCUGUAACUGACAACUGUCUUUCUUUUCUUUUUUUUUAAUUGAGAUGGAGUCUCCUCUGUUACCAGGCUGGAGUACCGUGGCAUGCUCUUGGCUCACUGCAACCUCUACCUCCUGGGUUCAAGCGAUUCUCCUGCCUCAGCUUCUUGAGUAGCUGGGACUACAGGAUACCACUCCUAUUUACUUAUUUUUGGAGCUUCCAAGGAGGAAUAAAACAAUGGAAGUGGAGACCUGUUCGUGUGCUUUUGGCCCUUCCUGCCCAGGAUGGGAGGGUAAAGGUCUCCCACUAGGUCAAGGGAUGGUCCAGAGCACUCUCUGCUUCUUCUCACUUGGAGAAAAUCAUCUAUUUGUGCUGAUGUGACAAUAAACUGAGACAGCUGUUGUACA
rnacentral:lncRNA from 13 species